AUUGAACGCUGGCGGCAGGCCUAACACAUGCAAGUCGAGCGGUAGAGAGGUGCUUGCAUCUCUUGAGAGCGGCGGACGGGUGAGUAAUGCCUAGGAAUCUGCCUAGUGGUGGGGGAUAACGUUCGGAAACGGACGCUAAUACCGCAUACGUCCUACGGGAGAAAGCGGGGGAUCUUCGGACCUCGCGCCAUUAGAUGAGCCUAGGUCGGAUUAGCUAGUUGGUGAGGUAAUGGCUCACCAAGGCGACGAUCCGUAACUGGUCUGAGAGGAUGAUCAGUCACACUGGAACUGAGACACGGUCCAGACUCCUACGGGAGGCAGCAGUGGGAAUAUUGGACAAUGGGCGCAAGCCUGAUCCAGCCAUGCCGCGUGUGUGAAGAAGGCCUUCGGUUGUAAG
rnacentral:rRNA from 1 species